UACCAGCACCCCGAGUGGUCGGGACGUUUUAUUGGGCCUAAAGCAUCCGUAGCCGGUUCUACAAGUCUUCCGUUAAAUCCACCUGCUUAACAGAUGGGCUGCGGAAGAUACUAUAGAGCUAGGAGGCGGGAGAGGCAAGCGGUACUCGAUGGGUAGGGGUAAAAUCCGUUGAUCCAUUGAAGACCACCAGUGGCGAAGGCGGCUUGCCAGAACGCGCUCGACGGUGAGGGAUGAAAGCUGGGGGAGCAAACGGG
rnacentral:rRNA from 1 species